CCACCUCCAUCGCCGUCGUCUCCGUUGCAGCAGUCGUCUCACAAGUCACAUCCACGAAGAGUCCGGACGAUGCGAGGUCGAUUUCUCAACGUCGAUUACUUCUCCAUUCCACCUUCUCAGGUAUACGAAGCCCUAGGCUUCCUCAACCUCCCGGCUCCCGACGAUUUCCCGCCUCCUCUCUUCCGCGACACGAGAGAAGAGUUUCUCCGAUUCGAACCUGUCGAAGGCUUCUCUCUCCCGAUCGAGGAUCUUCCAAUCGGAGAUGCGUUGUCGAGGUUCCUCUCCGACGUGGUUCCCGAUCGCGUCAGCGUCGACUAUGGAGCCUUCGAGAUGGAUUACUCCUCCCUCGGAGACGAGCUGAGGUUUAUUCUCCGCCGUGGAGAUCCUCGGUUCCUCGAGAAGAGUGAAGGAGAUGCCGUUGAGGAGAAAGCUACACUAGAUUUUAACAUUGUUCAGCUGGAGACUCCAGAGAUGGAUUUCGAAAUGGAGAAUAAGCUCUCAUCCAAGAUUGAGGAUCUCCAAUGCCUCUCCAAAGUUCUAGAGAUCCGAAAUGAGCCGGUUAAGUUCGAGGAGUCAGAUGUUGUUCUAAAGAACUCAAGUGACAUCAAACAGAAGAUUUAUUCUGUUGAUUGCGUUUCUUCUGAUUACUUUACGGAGAAGAGUACUUCGGUGAAAGAAGAUGAAUGCUUCCGCAAGAACCGACCAUGGUUCAGAGAUGCGGUAUUUCCUCUUCUAGAAGUGGAUGAAGUAAACUUGAACGAACUAUCAAGCCUGUCUAUGCUUGAUAAAGUAUUUGCUGUUCUUGAAACGAUUGAGCCCAGAGAUAUGGAUACAGAGAGUUCUCUCGGUUUGAAUUCUAAGGAGCUUAUAGGCUCUAAGGGUUAUGAUAUAUUGGAUAUCCUCUCUACGGAUUGCUAUUCAAACAAGAGUGUCCAGUCUGAUGUGGUACCGCAGGAGAUUGAUAUAGUGACUAUCUUGGAAAUACCAAAUCCUGUGGAAAGCUUUCAGUUUGGACAGGGAAAGCUGGCUGUUGAUGUGGUCUCGGUAAGUUUUGAGGAAGUUCAGAUCUUGGAUGUGGAGAUGUAUGAUGUUUUUGGUAGCUUCCUUUGUCUGCAACAAGCCACUGAACCAGAAAUAUGUCCCGGGAUGUUCAGUGAAGAGAUGAACUUCAAGAAUUUCGAUGAAUUAGUUGUCAGUUCUGAACUUGCCUUCGCAGAUGAUGCUUUCAAGUCUCUGCCAAUUCCUAUCUUACAUGAUUAUGAGAUGACAAGAUCUCUGGAACUCAUUUAUGAGAAUUAUUUGUCAAAGAUCAAGCCUCAAGCCUUUCCUGCAUCAAAUGACAUAUACUUGCCGUUGAACCUUCUUGAGGAGACAAAGCACAGCCAUGAAGCCCAUUUUUGUGAUUAUCUGUCUGAAGAAAUAGUUACAUGCAACAUUGAUUAUGAUUUGGAAUCUUUAGAAGGAGACAAAUGGGUUUAUGAUUUCGUGCUCUCUGAAGAUGCUUUCUGUCAGCCACUUGUAGAGAGAUGCACUGAACCUUUUUGUGGUAUAUCUACCCUUGAUGAGCAUCCUCCAGUCAAUACUUCUCAUGGUUUAUUGGAACACCCUUGUCCAGAAACAGGAGCCGGUGAUUGUGGAAGGGAUGAUCAUGCCAAAAAGGCUGCCAUGUUGUUCAAAUCAAUGUCUGCUUUUGAUGACUUAAGUUUUUUCAUGGAUCCUCAGAAAGCUGUGAUUGAAGAGAAUCUUGAGUCUAGAGUCGAAGCUGCUAAGACUGUCAACCAUAAAAUUACGUCCACUGACUCAAAGGCUCCAUGUAUAUCUGGUGGUGGCAUGCACCCAAGCUCGAAGACAGAGGAUAUGAAAGUUCACAGUGUGCGCCCUUCAGAAAAUAUUCUGGCCCUUGUUCGGGAUUUUGAGAAGAGCUAUUUAACUCUCGUGAAGGAUGAUGAAGAUUUGAUUUCAACUUUAUCAGAAGAUAAACUGAAGUUACUCAGCAUUUCGAAAGGAAAGCUUAUCGACUGCAUACGAAAGGCAAAUGUCCACAAAACAUGGUCAUCGGAUGAUAAGACUUUCACGUUUGCAUUGCUACUAGCAAUUAAACAGAUGACAUGGUAUUUAUGUUUCUUUGGUAUCCGUGUGGCAUAUCUCUAUCUUAACAAGCUAUGUCGGAGCUCAAAUCCCAUGAAGCUAGGAUUGCACACGCUUUACUCAUCAUUUGAAUCAGAACACAUGUCAACUGAGGGAGACAUCACUAGAUCACAUCCAUCCCUAGCUGUCAUCCAUGGGAUUUUACAGUCAAAAUGUGUCCGUGGGAAUUCCAAAGCGUUACUUUUGGCGGAGAAAGUUUUUUGGUCCUCGCUGAAGAGGCUAUUGGUGUCUAUGGGGUUAUCUUACAAUGAGCUCAACAGUCCGUCCCCAAGUGGAAAUCAACCGAAUCUUAACGAAGCAACAGAACUCUGUAUCCUGCCAACCACAGACUGUCUACUUGUCGCUUACGAGCGCAUUUCUCCAUCUUUUCGUGUGGAGAAUUUCACCGUCAUUGUAGAAUAUGGAGGUCCAAAUGCGUCGCCCAGAGUCUCAUCUCCUUUAAAGUUGGACUCCUGUCCUUGCUUUCAUUUUAUAAAAGUGGAGCUGGAUAUGUCCAGUGCGUGCGGGCAACUCUCUGCAGGUGUUACAGUACCUUAUAGUCUCAAAAUGGUAAAGGGAGAUGAAUAUGAGACGAAAACUGGGUGGUUGGAAGAAGUGUUGAACUUUGUUCCACUUGAAAGUUUGUGUUCCGCUGAAUCUUCAGAAUCUACGAAGGAAUCUAAAUCUGACUUCGUGCCUCGAGAAUCUGGAAGAAAAAUUGGGAUAAAUGAGCAGGGAGUUCUCUCUGACCAAAUAGCUGUGAUUGUAGUGAACACAAAAACUGUUGACAAGGAGAUGAUAAUAUCCAGAAGAAGUACAUAUCAAAAGGUCUUGGCAAUGGAAAAAGAAGGAGUGCAAGUUGUGGAGCGCGAUUCCGAUCUACCUGUGGACCUGAUGCUAAGUCCUGCGAUUUGUCUAGUCUGGUAUGAUUGUGGAAGUGUUAGUAAGAAGUCGGACGCAACUAUUGGUGCUUCCUCAAGCUCACUUUCAUGGAUUGGGGAUAUCGCAACCAAUGUUUUGACGUCAUUGAGCUUCGGUUUCAGCACCUGUGUUAUGGUUUUUGAGGGGGAACCCACUUGCCUGGCUACAGUAAUGGACUCUUCUGACGAACUGUAUGCAGCAGCUGGCAGCCUGGGAAUCAAUUUACAGAUCUUUUGCUCAUCAUCAGCUAAAUUAACUGAUGCAAUUAUACUGAGGUGUAUCAAAUCUUCUGUUAAAUCUUCACAAGUCCAUGCCAAAAUGCCCGAGUCAGAAUCUCUUGCAGAAUCAUUUCUCACCAAGUUUCCUUCCGUGAAUCCACUGACAGCUCAUGUAAUUUUGUCAUCUACUGGAUCACUUCUCGAAUUCAUGAAGCUCCCACAUACUAGCAAGGUUCAAAUGUUGCAAAAGUACCAUGUACCUGAAGAGAGUGUUGAACUCUUCAGUUCAUUAUCCAGAUACGGUGCGAGGGAAGACUCCAAAUCUGUAAUGACAGACAGCUCUUCUUCUGUAUCUUCUGGACAUGACUCAGACGCCCACCAUUUCAGUGUCCAUUCUGGUUCGAAAAGGAAACAGUACAUUACUGGGAAAGAUGAGACUAAUAUGGACGACUUUGUCCAUUGUGUUCCCUCGACAGAGUUUGCUGGUAUGAAGCGCAAGCCUUCAGGGGAUUUCCAACUUGACGAUCCUUGGUCAUCUAGAGAUCAUGAGAUGUUUCAUUUUGACCCUGUCACUGAAUUCCCAGAUGCACCUCUCAAACCUUCUGGGAUCAUUCAUCGUAACGACUCUUGGCCAUCUAAAGAUCCUGAGAGGUUUGACAAGAACUCAGGACCUGGUUCUUCAUCAAAGGACACGUUCUGGGAGAAUGAUUUUGGAGUCGAGGAAAACCUUCCUGGAUUUGAAAGUUGGAGUUUACCCGUUACCGAUGAUUUCAUGAGUCAGAACAGAGGACGCAAGCUUCCUGUGAUGGGAGAAGCUAACUUGCACGACACUAGAAACUCAGAGAACUUCAUGGGAGACUUCAAAGGUGAAGUUAUCAACAUAGAGAAUAAUAAGUUUCUCGAGGAAGACUUCCCUCCUUCUCCUGCUUAUAACAGGUACUCUCCAACAGUUUCUCAUGUUGCUGAAGAUCCGAGAAAAUCCAAGUCUGCAAGGAAGUUAUCUUUCUCUGGAUCUAUCCAGCCUAUCUUCCCAACGUCAGCUGAGAUUAACUUCAAUUCUGAAAGGCUACCCACCGAAUCAACUACUCCUUCGCGUGGCUAUGUUGAUAACUUCCCAGCAAAACGGCAACGGACUCUUCUGGAAGAAGUCUUAACACGGAGAUCUGCAGUUUCCACAACAGAUCAUCCAUUUCAAGAAGAGAUUUCACAUUUUGGUGGGUCUCCACUAUCAAACGCAAUCCGUUCUCCAGAUCCAGUACAAGGUUCUCCUUGGACUGUUGAUUUCCUCAACAGAGUCAGAGAAAGGAGUACAGAAAGGAAGCAGAAACAAUCUCUUCCUUCUUAUAUCACUCCCUCUAGUUUGGAAGCUCGAGGGGACCCAAAGAAACCUAAUAUCAAGAGGAAGAGUCCUUCCAUGCUAGAGUUUUUCAAGCAUAAAGGAGGCAAUGCUCGUAGCAGAGUUCCAGAAGAGAGAAAGCAGAAGCGGUUCAAGAAUUCUUCAGCCUCGCCACAAAACGAGAGAUUUGACUCGAUUCUUAGGUCGACUACGCCAAUUGAUAAGCGAGCAAAACAGACUCUAUCCUUCGCUGUGAAUGGAUCUGGAAGGCAAACAAAACUGGUCUGGAAGUAGAGAAGCAAACACAACCGUACAGUUAGACAUUCAGUGUGGAGCAAUCUUUAUAUCUGAUGUUUGAUGGCCAUAAGAAGAGGCUUUUGAGGAUCGGAGCCAUCGUACUGCUUAAGCUCCUCCUCCGUGAUCUCACCGACCUGAACAGGCUGAGUAACCGGUGGCACUUCCACUGUAGCUGACGAUCUAGCCCUCAGAUAAUCGAGCAGCGAAGCAAAACAGCUUGAGAUAACAUAGUAAAUGCCGUAGGCGCUGAUGAGAGCGAGGACGAGAAAGACGGCAGCCAAGACAGCAACGUGAUAGUAAUGUAUUACUUCUUCCAAAAAUUGCACAAUUUUCCAUUGUAGUAGCGCCAUAUUUUGAAAAGGUUCUCUCACUUUUGUCUUUGGAAGUCAGAACGUUAUGCAUAUAUAUAUACACUAGUGCUCGGCCAGCUCGGGUGUUAUACAUUUAGGAUCAAUUUUUCUGAGGGACCUUUGAUAAUAAAAAAUAUUUUUAAUUUGCUA